UUGGAGACAUAUUCCUCCAUCUAUGAGAAGGCAAAGCACAGCAUGGCGUAUUGGCUCGAAAGGUUGCCGACCGGACCUAGCCCCGGAGACGGUAACUAGUCUAUUCAAAUUGUGAAACUUCUUAUACCACGGUUAAACCCAAGAAGACAAGCACAUACUCGGGGUUCCUUUUUUUCUUAAUUUAUUAUUAUUUUUUUUCGUUGCUCGAGGUAUAAUUAAUGUAGCUUUUGCUAUAUCGAUUAUACUGAACUACUGUAAAUGGAAAAAAAAAAAAAAGAUUCAUUUAAUUACUUAUUCAAAUAAGUUGAUAAGCCA